CAGGGAAAUUAAGCCUGUGCUUUUCCCUUUCUCAGGACUGAGGCAGAGGUUGGACUAGAACACCUUCGCCGACUCCAGAUGUUCCCUUUAAAGCCUUAACGUUCUCAUCUGAAAAAUGGCCACAAUAACUCUUACCUUGUAGAAGAGAAAUAGGAUGAAUUAAGGUGCGAUUCCCAUACAAACCUUCACACUGGAGCCGGGCUCAUCAGCCACAGGAAGCCCCGCCGGAAGUCUUCAGGAAGGCCCACCGGCUUGCUGAUGGCUGGAUUCACAAAGACGUGGACUGAAGACCCAGUGGUACAGGCCAAAGCGGCAAACUGCGCCAGCUUGGGGUGGCCAAAGAAAAAGCCAUCACUGAGGUGCCGGAGAUCGACGGAAGGUGGCUCCUUGGUGGGCUUGGGGGGAAACAGAGCAAGGCGGUAAUGCACGCUGGAAUGACCAACUUUCUCCAUGACCAACACAGCCACUGGGAUCUGAGGAAAGCCGACCGGCGAGUGGAAGGUGCACUGAUUGGUCACUAUGAACCCCACCAUGGGGGACAUCAGCAAGCCCGUUUUCAGGCCGCAAUAUCUGGAAAGUUACAUCACAAUGCUGAUUCUGUAUAUAACAUUGUAUAUAUUGUAUACAUUUAAUAUACUAACAGUUGUUAUACAUUGUAUAACAUUGUGUAACAUUUAUUAUACAAUUGUAUAUACAUUGUGUAUACAUUGUAUAACAUUUAAUAUACUAACAGUUCACAGAUAUGGUAAGUUCUCAUUAAACAUUGGCUAUUAUUAUUAUUG